rnacentral:rRNA from 1 species
GAUGAACGCUGGCGGCGUGCCUAACACAUGCAAGUCGAGCGAACAGACGAGGAGCUUGCUCCUCUGACGUUAGCGGCGGACGGGUGAGUAACACGUGGAUAACCUACCUAUAUGACUGGGAUAACUUCGGGAAACCGGAGCUAAUACCGGAGAAUAUAUUGAACCGCAUGGUUCAAUAGUGAAUGACGGUUUUUCUGUCACUUAUAGAUGGAUCCGCGCCGCAUUAGCUAGUUGGUAAGGUAACGGCUUACCAAGGCAACGAUGCGUAGCCGACCUGGGAGAGUGAUCGGCCACACUGGAACUGAGACACGGUCCAGACUCCUACGGGAGGCAGCAGUAGGGAAUCUUCCGCAAUGGGCGGGAGCAUGACGGAACAAGGCCGCGUGAGUGAUGAAGGUCUUCGGAUCGUAAAACUCUGUUAUUAGGGAAGAACAAAUGUGUAAGGAAAUGUACAGGUCUUGACGGUACCUGAUCAAAAAGCCACGGCUAACUACGUG